rnacentral:rRNA from 1 species
UACGGGGGGAGCAAGCGUUGUUCGGAUUUACUGGGCGUAAAGGGCGCGUAGGCGGCCACCGCAAGUCGACUGUGAAAUCUCCGGGCUUAACCCGGAAAGGUCAGCCGAUACUGCGGGGCUAGAGUGCAGAAGGGGCAACUGGAAUUCUCGGUGUAGCGGUGAAAUGCGUAGAUAUCGAGAGGAACACCUGAGGUGAAGACGGGUUGCUGGGCUGACACUGACGCUGAGGCGCGAAAGCCAGGGGAGCAAACGGG